rnacentral:rRNA from 1 species
GUCCACGCCCUAAACGAUGUCAACUGGUUGUUGGGUCUUCACUGACUCAGUAACGAAGCUAACGCGUGAAGUUGACCGCCUGGGGAGUACGGCCGCAAGGUUGAAACUCAAAGGAAAUUGACGGGGACCCGGCACAAGCGGUGGAUGAUGUGGUUUAAUUCGAUGCAACGCGAAAACCUUAACCCACCUUUGUACAUGUACGGAAUUCGCCAGAGAUGGCUUAGUGCUCGAAAGAGAGCCGUAACACAGGUGCUGCAUGGCUGUCGU